AUCCAGACUCCUACGGGAGGCAGCAGUGGGGAAUAUUGCACAAUGGGGGAAACCCUGAUGCAGCGACGCCGCGUGAGCGAUGAAGUAUUUCGGUAUGUAAAGCUCUAUCAGCAGGGAAGAAGAUGACGGUACCUGACUAAGAAGCCCCGGCUAACUACGUGCCAGCAGCCGCGGUAAUACGUAGGGGGCAAGCGUUAUCCGGAUUUACUGGGUGUAAAGGGAGCGUAGACGGCGAUGCAAGCCAGAUGUGAAAGCCCGGGGCUCAACCCCGGGACUGCAUUUGGAACUGUGUGGCUGGAGUGUCGGAGAGGCAGGCGGAAUUCCUAGUGUAGCGGUGAAAUGCGUAGAUAUUAGGAGGAACACCAGUGGCGAAGGCGGCCUGCUGGACGAUGACUGACGUUGAGGCUCGAAAGCGUGGGGAGCAAACAGGAUUAGAUACCCGAGUA
rnacentral:rRNA from 1 species